rnacentral:rRNA from 1 species
AACGAACGCUGGCGGCGUGCCUAACACAUGCAAGUCGUGCGAGAAAGUCUCCUUCGGGAGGCGAGUAAAGCGGCGCACGGGUGAGUAACACGUGGGUGAUCUGCCCAUCAGACGGGGACAACGAUUGGAAACGAUCGCUAAUACCGGAUAGGACGAAAGUUUAAAGGUGCUUCUGGCACCGCUGAUGGAUGAGCCUGCGGCGCAUUAGCUAGUUGGUAGGGUAAAGGCCUACCAAGGCGACGAUGCGUAGCCGACCUGAGAGGGUGAACGGCCACACUGGGACUGAGACACGGCCCAGACUCCUACGGGAGGCUG